CAGGGAGACAAUGAAUUGAUUGUGAUGUCUAAGUUAUUUAUUCUUAGGCCGCAAUCCUGUCACCUUAAGGUCGAUCGGUACCUCAGAUUUUUGAAUUAGUUUUAUAAUUAAUUCUUUGAUUUCAGUUCCUAAACUUGUCUAGGUCACACCCAACAAAGGUUUCUCCUGGGCCAUUAGCUCAGGUGGUUAGAGCGCACCCCUGAUAAGGGUGAGGUCCCUGGUUCAAGUCCAGGAUGGCCCAUUCGUUGUUGGGGGUAUAGCUCAGUUGGUAGAGCGCCUGCUUUGCAAGCAGGAUGUCAGCGGUUCGAGUCCGCUUACCUCCACUGAAAACUAUCCUGAUAACUAAAUCGGAGAAAAAUUUGUAGAAGUGGCUUAGAAUUGUCUGUCUGAAAAGAACCUAGCUUCUUGUCAUCUUUUUAUAGUUGAUAACAUGCUGGGCUCGCAUGGAUUAAUUCCUUGCGAAUUCAGUAGAACCUUGAAAACUGCAUAGAUUAGAAAGAAUAAAGCAUCUCAUGGAUGCAUAAUUCUGGUUUUUAUAAUUUAGCCUAAAACCUAAAUUAUUUAAGUUCUAGAGUUCAUGUUUAAUUCUUGAGUAAAAGCCGAGCACAAUUGAUUUUGUGAUUGUAUUUAA
rnacentral:tRNA from 1 species